UACGAAGGGGGCUAGCGUUGCUCGGAAUCACUGGGCGUAAAGGGUGCGUAGGCGGGUCUUUUAAGUCAGGGGUGAAAUCCUGGAGCUCAACUCCAGAACUGCCUUUGAUACUGAAGAUCUUGAGUUCGGGAGAGGUGAGUGGAACUGCGAGUGUAGAGGUGAAAUUCGUAGAUAUUCGCAAGAACACCAGUGGCGAAGGCGGCUCACUGGCCCGGUACUGACGCUGAGGUGCGAAAGCGUGGGGAGCA
rnacentral:rRNA from 1 species